rnacentral:rRNA from 1 species
CUACGGGCCGCAGCAGUGGGGAAUAUUGCGCAAUGGGCGAAAGCCUGACGCAGCAACGCCGCGUGAGCGAUGAAGGCCUUCGGGUUGUAAAGCUCUGUCGAAUGGGAAGAAUUUUGACGGUACCAUUAGAGGAAGCCCCGGCUAACUCCGUGCCAGCAGCCGCGGUAAUACGGAGGGGGCAAGCGUUGUUCGGAAUCAUUGGGCGUAAAGCGUAUGUAGGCGGCCGAAUAAGUCAGACGUGUAAGCCCAUGGCUCAACCAUGGAAUUGCGUUUGAAACUAUUUGGCUUGAGUGCAGGAGAGGAAAGCGGAAUUCCCAGUGUAGCGGUGAAAUGCAUUGAUAUUGGGAAGAACAUCGGUGGCGAAGGCGGCUUUCUGGUCUGUAACUGACGCUGAGAUACGAAAGCCAGGGGAGCGAACGGGAUUAGAUACCCGAGUAGUC